AGAGUUUGAUCCUGGCUCAGGAUGAACGCUAGCGACAGGCUUAACACAUGCAAGUCGAGGGGCAGCGGGGGAGCAGCAAUGCUCCCGCCGGCGACCGGCGCACGGGUGAGUAACACGUAUGGAACCUGCCCGCAGCAGGGGGAUAAGCGGAAGAAAUUCCGUCUAAUACCGCGUAACACCGCGGAGGGGCAUCCCUCGGCGGUUAAAGAUUCAUCGGCUGCGGAUGGCCAUGCGGCGCAUUAGCUAGUCGGCGGGGUAACGGCCCACCGAGGCGACGAUGCGUAGGGGUUCUGAGAGGAAGGUCCCCCACACUGGUACUGAGACACGGACCAGACUCCUACGGGAGGCAGCAGUGAGGAAUAUUGGUCAAUGGCCGGGAGGCUGAACCAGCCAAGUCGCGUGAGGGAAGACGGCCCUACGGGUUGUAAACCUCUUUUGUCAGGGAGCAAGAGGCGGGUCGGGACCUGCUGUGAGAGUACCCGAAGAAAAAGCAUCGGCUAACUCCGUGCCAGCAGCCGCGGUAAUACGGAGGAUGCGAGCGUUAUCCGGAUUUAUUGGGUUUAAAGGGUGCGCAGGCGGAGGCACAAGUCAGCGGUAAAAUCGCGGGGCUCAACCCCGCUCCGCCGUUGAAACUGUGUCCCUUGAGUGCGCGAAGGGUAGGCGGAAUGCGUGGUGUAGCGGUGAAAUGCAUAGAUAUCACGCAGAACUCCGAUCGCGAAGGCAGCCUACCGGCGCGCAACUGACGCUCAUGCACGAAAGCGUGGGUAUCGAACAGGAUUAGAUACCCUGGUAGUCCACGCAGUAAACGAUGAAUGCUAUCUGUCCGGCCGGAAUGACGGCUGGGUGGCACAGCGAAAGCGUUAAGCAUUCCACCUGGGAAGUACGCCGGCAACGGUGAAACUCAAAGGAAUUGACGGGGGCCCGCACAAGCGGAGGAACAUGUGGUUUAAUUCGAUGAUACGCGAGGAACCUUACCCGGGCUCAAACGACACAGGGAUGCCGCCGAAAGGUGGCAGUCCUUCGGGACCUGUGUCGAGGUGCUGCAUGGUUGUCGUCAGCUCGUGCCGUGAGGUGUCGGCUUAAGUGCCAUAACGAGCGCAACCCCCAUCUUCAGUUGCCAUCAGGUAGAGCUGGGCACUCUGGAGAGACUGCCGGCGCAAGCUGCGAGGAAGGCGGGGAUGACGUCAAAUCAGCACGGCCCUUACGUCCGGGGCGACACACGUGUUACAAUGGCAGGUACAGCGGGAAGCCAGGCGGCGACGCCGAGCGGAACCCGAAAACCUGUCUCAGUUCGGAUUGCAGGCUGCAACCCGACUCCGUGAAGCUGGAUUCGCUAGUAAUCGCGCAUCAGCCAUGGCGCGGUGAAUACGUUCCCGGGCCUUGCACACACCGCCCGUCA
rnacentral:rRNA from 1 species